rnacentral:rRNA from 1 species
UGGGGAAUAUUGCACAAUGGGCGCAAGCCUGAUGCAGCCAUGCCGCGUGUAUGAAGAAGGCCUUCGGGUUGUAAAGUACUUUCAGCGGGGAGGAAGGCGAUAAGGUUAAUAACCUUGUCGAUUGACGUUACCCGCAGAAGAAGCACCGGCUAACUCCGUGCCAGCAGCCGCGGUAAUACGGAGGGUGCAAGCGUUAAUCGGAAUUACUGGGCGUAAAGCGCACGCAGGCGGUCUGUCAAGUCGGAUGUGAAAACCCCGGGCUCAACCUGGGAACUGCAUUCGAAACUGGCAGGCUAGAGUCUUGUAGAGGGGGGUAGAAUUCCAGGUGUAGCGGUGAAAUGCGUAGAGAUCUGGAGGAAUACCGGUGGCGAAGGCGGCCCCCUGGACAAAGACUGACGCUCAGGUGCGAAAGCGUGGGGAGCAAACA